AACGGCCGUACCAUGCUGAAUAUACCGGUUCUCGUUAGAUCACCGAAGUUAAGCAUCAUUGGGCGCGGUCAGUGCUUGGGUGGGUGACCAUCUGGGAACACUGCGUGCCGUU
rnacentral:rRNA from 1 species